rnacentral:rRNA from 1 species
AGUGAACGCUGGCGGUAGGCCUAACACAUGCAAGUCGAACGGCAGCACAGUAAGAGCUUGCUCUUACGGGUGGCGAGUGGCGGACGGGUGAGGAAUACAUCGGGAUCUACUUUUUCGUGGGGGAUAACGUAGGGAAACUUACGCUAAUACCGCAUACGACCUACGGGUGAAAGCAGGGGAUCUUCGGACCUUGCGCGAUUGAAUGAGCCGAUGUCGGAUUAGCUGGUUGGCGGGGUAAAGGCCCACCAAGGCGACGAUCCGUAGCUGGUCUGAGAGGAUGAUCAGCCACACUGGAACUGAGACACGGUCCAGACUCCUACGGGAGGCAGCAGUGGGGAAUAUUGGACAAUGGGCGCAAGCCUGAUCCAGCCAUACCGCGUGGGUGAAGAAGGCCUUCGGGUUGUAAAGCCCUUUUGUUGGGAAAGAAAAGCAGCAGGUUAAUACCCCGCUGUUCUGACGGUACCCAAAGAAUAAGCACCGGCUAACUUCGUG